rnacentral:rRNA from 1 species
GUAGGGGGCAAGCGUUAUCCGGAUUUACUGGGUGUAAAGGGAGCGUAGACGGCAGUGCAAGUCUGAAGUGAAAGGCAUGGGCUCAACCUGUGGACUGCUUUGGAAACUGUGCUGCUUGAGUGUCGGAGAGGCAAGUGGAAUUCCUAGUGUAGCGGUGAAAUGCGUAGAUAUUAGGAGGAACACCAGUGGCGAAGGCGGCUUGCUGGACGAUGACUGACGUUGAGGCUCGAAAGCGUGGGGAGCAAA